rnacentral:lncRNA from 1 species
UUACAUACAAGAUGAUCUAACAAAAGUUUUUAUUGAAGGGAUUGCUAUGAGGUUGCAAUGACUUAAGACAUUUAAAAUACUUACAACAGAGUCUGGCACACAGCAAGAACCUUCUCAAUGUUAUAUAUAACAAUAAUGAUACUAAUCACUUUCUUCUCUGAAGGAGAGAUUGAGGUUCUGAGAAGUUGAGUUUUUGAUCAGGGUCAUGUAAUUAGUCAUGUUAAAAGCUCAAAGUUAGACUCUUACUCCAAAUUCUCUGCUUUUCUAGAAACAUUGCAUAUUGCUCCAGUCAUUGUUUGUGGAGACAUUGAGACAGAAUAUGAAUAUAAAAAGUGGAAGAAUGUGUAUGUAUAAAAUCAAGCUGGAAACAUCCAUUGGGAGAAGAGUCUUCAGGGUGGAAUUGCAGAGCAGACUUUAAAUCCAAAACAGCACUCUCCUGAUCACAAGCAGGAUAUUCAAGAA